AAACCUCUUUUCUAAUAGCAACAGGUUUUCACUUCAGACUGCUUUGCCAUGAAGGCAGGAAACCAGCAGCAUGCCGUUUAAUGAUCUAAGGGUUACAGAUGCCAAGUGUUUCACCAGGAAAUGAUUAAAAGUCCUUCUGAUGUGAAAGCAGCGCUUCCAUCAGGCACUUUUCUCACACUUUGUAUUAGGAACAGGAUUUUGCAGCUGGUGGGAGCAAGAAGCCACCCUUGGACUGGCAGUCAUUGUGAGGGCUCAGACCUUUGCAAGACAGACCAUUCAGUCAAAACACAGCAGUAAUAAGAGAAAAAGCACCGUACCUUGCUAGGAUUUCUCGUAAACCAGGAGACGGCCUCUCCACAUUUGGUUAGUCUCCUGAUGCAGGGGAAAUGACCGGCUUUCCAGGCACCUUGGGUGUUUUCAGGUCCCACAGAAGGACUGCACUGACACUGCUGAGGUCGGUAGUAGCUUGGGUAUGGACCCUUUUACAUUGUUAUUGCUGUGAUUUAGUUUGUCAAAAAAAUUAAGCAGCAGCAACCCCCUGUUCCCUGCCCUCCCCAUCCGCACCCAGCAAUGGCUAGGAGUUGAGGCACUACCCUUGGGUGUGCCAAAUGAGUCAUUUCCUCCCCAGAGCUGUUUGACUCCUUCUCCACCUGGAGGGCUUUAUAACGUUCCUGCCCCUACUUCAGUUCCACGGUUCACCCAAGCAGGCAGCAUGCUGCUGCUGCCCGUCCUGCUUGCAGCUUCUUCUUGGUCCCGUGGAGACGCGCAGGCAGUGCCGGUGCAAAGCCCGGUGAUGCGGACUCAGGCAGAGAGACGCUCGGCCAGCAUGGAAUGCCAGCUGACGAAAGAAGACACCGUGCACUGGUACAAGCAGCUUCCCGGAGAGCCGCCCAAGAGGAUACUGUACGUGUCAGGAAACACACCUAUAUUUGAUGAUGGCUCUGACAGACAAAAGUAUCAAGUGAGGAAGCAUGCCUCUAAACCUCUCUAUAGUCUCCAAAUAAAUUAUGUAACCCAGAGGGACGCUGGCACUUACUACUGUGCGUACUGGUAUUUAUAUCAAGGCAUCACAGCGUUAGAUGGGCCAAGAUAAACCAUACAAAAAGGCACUUGGCACUCUGAACCACAAGCUCUGAACUCUGCCCAAAUGCAGAUACUUCGUCAUUCAGCCCUGCUCUGAUGAUUUUCUGCCGCAGGAUAGGAAAAACAACAGCCUAGCAUGACAACUGCUAAAUAGAGGAUGUUAAUAAUCGGGAUAUUAUUUCCAGACUGACACAUCUCUGUAACAUGCAGAAGCUGCAGGUCCCCAUCAAUUGAGGGUACAAAGAGGGAACAUUGCUGUCAAGAUGAAGACUUGGAAGCACGGAAAGCACUCACCUGGCAGUGAACACAGCCUGUCUGUGCCUUGUGAGCAAACAGUAACUGAAUAUUUCUCUUCUUUACUGGAAUCUGUGGAGCAAGCAGACCAAUAUAUCUCCAUCCCCUUGGUGCUCUCUCUUGAGAUAAGG